rnacentral:RNase_P_RNA from 3 species
CCAGUUGGCUGGGCAGCCGCGCUUUAUCAAUGCCGAAAGGCGGUAGGGUGAGGAAAGUCCGGGCUCCACGGAAACACGGUGCCGGAUAACGUCCGGCGAGGGCGACCUCAGGGAAAGUGCCACAGAAAGCAAACCGCCUGUCAUGACAGGUAAGGGUGAAAGGGUGGGGUAAGAGCCCACCGCAUCUCCGGCAACGGAAAUGGCACGGUAAACCCCACCGGGAGCAAGACCGAAUAGGGAUGACGCGGCAGGCCGAAAGGCCUUCCGGCCGGUUUCCAGGCCAGUCAUCCGGGUGGGUUGCGCGAGGCAGCGUGCGAACGCUGUCCCAGAGGAAUGGCUGCCACGUUCCGGUUCACGCCGGAGCCAUACAGAACCCGGCUUACAGGCCAACUGGCGAU